rnacentral:misc_RNA from 1 species
GGAAGUAAAGGUCGUAACAAGGUUUCCGUAGGUGAACCUGCGGAAGGAUCAUUCAUAAUAAGUGUUUUAUGGCACUUUUUUAAAUCCAUAUCCACCUUGUGUGCAAUGUCAGGGUUGAUUUUUCUCUCGGGAGGAUCAGCCCCAAACAUCAACUAUAUCUCAACUCUUUGUCUGAAAAAUAUUAUGAAUAAAACAAUUCAAAAUACAACUUUCAACAACGGAUCUCUUGGCUCUC